GCCAAGAAGGCCAACAGCAUCCUGGCCUGUAACAGAAAUAGCGUGGGCAGCCGGACUAGGGAAGAGAUUUUUCCCUUGUACUCAGCUCUGCUGAGGCCACACCUCAAAUACUAUUUCAGUUUUGGGACCCUCACUACAAAAAGGACAUCCAUGUACUGGUGUGAGCCCAAAGAAGGGCAACAAAGCUGGUGAAGGGUCUAGAGAACAAGUCUCAUGAAGAGCAGCUGAAGGAGCUGGGGUUGUUUAGCCUAGAGAAAAG